GCUGUUUUGGCCGAGUGGUCUAAGGUAUUUACGCACCAUUUCAAUACGAAUUAGUCAGAUUGUCUAACUUGACGCAGGCGCUGGUUUUAAGCACCAGUUUCGAAAGAAGCGUCGGUUCGAACCCGACAGACAGCA